AAAAAAAACUCGUCUAUCACCCUCUAACACCUUGAGCCACCAUCAUCGUCUUCAACGUCCAAACCUCCAUCACCUCAUCGCAGACAUCAAUUCCUCAUCAUCAAUCUCUCUCUUAAAUUAUCAUAUAAGACUAUCAAACAAGUGAUAGCUGUGAAGGUCUUCAUGAGACUAGGAUCUCCAAAGUUUGAAGGAAGCUUUGAUCGGCCUGAAGGUGAUCAGGUAUACUGAAAACUUUGAAUCAGUUUUUGUCAUCAGAAGCAACCAAGUUGGUAGUUUUCUCACCCUUUUUUUUUUUUUUUAUAGAUGUACAACAUAGUCAAUUAGAUAGAGA